CCUACGGGAGGCAGCAGUGGGGAAUAUUGGACAAUGGGGGGAACCCUGAUCCAGCGACGCCGCGUGAGUGAAGAAGUAUUUCGGUAUGUAAAGCUCUAUCAGCAGGGAAGAAAGAAAUGACGGUACCUGACUAAGAAGCCCCGGCUAACUACGUGCCAGCAGCCGCGGUAAUACGUAGGGGGCAAGCGUUAUCCGGAUUCACUGGGUGUAAAGGGAGCGUAGACGGCGAGACAAGUCUGGAGUGAAAGGCCGGGGCCCAACCCCGGGACUGCUCUGGAAACUGCCUGGCUGGAGUACAGGAGAGGUAAGUGGAAUUCCUAGUGUAGCGGUGAAAUGCGUAGAUAUUAGGAGGAACACCAGUGGUGAAGGCGGCUUACUGGACUGUAACUGACGUUGAGGCUCGAAAGCGUGGGGAGCAAACAGGAUUAGAUACCCCAGUAGUC
rnacentral:rRNA from 1 species